UACGUAGGGUGCAAGCGUUGUCCGGAAUUAUUGGGCGUAAAGAGCUCGUAGGCGGUCUGUCGCGUCGGAUGUGAAAACCCAGGGCUCAACCCUGGGCCUGCAUUCGAUACGGGCAGACUAGAGUUCGGUAGGGGAGACUGGAAUUCCUGGUGUAGCGGUGAAAUGCGCAGAUAUCAGGACGAACACCGGUGGCGAAGGCGGGUCUCUGGGCCGAAACUGACGCUGAGGAGCGAAAGCGUGGGGAGCAAACAGG
rnacentral:rRNA from 1 species